CUGGCGGCGUGCUUAACACAUGCAAGUCGAACGGAAAGGCCCUGCUUUUGUGGGGUGCUCGAGUGGCGAACGGGUGAGUAACACGUGAGUAACCUGCCCUUGACUUUGGGAUAACUUCAGGAAACUGGGGCUAAUACCGGAUAGGAGCUCCUGCUGCAUGGUGGGGGUUGGAAAGUUUCGGCGGUUGGGGAUGGACUCGCGGCUUAUCAGCUUGUUGGUGGGGUAGUGGCUUACCAAGGCUUUGACGGGUAGCCGGCCUGAGAGGGUGACCGACCACAUUGGGACUGAGAUACGGCCCAGACUCCUACGGGAGGCAGCAGUGGGGAAUAUUGCACAAUGGGCGGAAGCCUGAUGCAGCAACGCCGCGUGCGGGAUGACGGCCUUCGGGUUGUAAACCGCUUUCGCCUGUGACGAAGCGUGAGUGACGGUAAUGGGUAAAGAAGCACCGGCUAACUACGUGCCAGCAGCCGCGGUGAUACGUAGGGUGCGAGCGUUGUCCGGAUUUAUUGGGCGUAAAGGGCUCGUAGGUGGUUGAUCGCGUCGGAAGUGUAAUCUUGGGGCUUAACCCUGAGCGUGCUUUCGAUACGGGUUGACUUGAGGAAGGUAGGGGAGAAUGGAAUUCCUGGUAGAGCGGUGGAAUGCGCAGAUAUCAGGAGGAACACCAGUGGCGAAGGCGGUUCUCUGGGCCUUUCCUGACGCUGAGGAGCGAAAGCGUGGGGAGCGAACAGGCUUAGAUACCCUGGUAGUCCACGCUGUAAACGGUGGGUACUAGGUGUGGGGUCCAUUCCACGGGUUCCGUGCCGUAGCUAACGCUUUAAGUACCCCGCCUGGGGAGUACGGCCGCAAGGCUAAAACUCAAAGGAAUUGACGGGGCCCCGCACAAGCGGCGGAGCAUGCGGAUUAAUUCGAUGCAACGCGUAGAACCUUACCUGGGUUUGACAUGGAUCGGGAGUGCUCAGAGAUGGGUGUGCCUCUUUUGGGGUCGGUUCACAGGUGGUGCAUGGCUGUCGUCAGCUCGUGUCGUGAGAUGUUGGGUUAAGUCCCGCAACGAGCGCAACCCUUGUUCACUGUUGCCAGCACGUUAUGGUGGGGACUCAGUGGAGACCGCCGGGGUCAACUCGGAGGAAGGUGGGGAUGACGUCAAGUCAUCAUGCCCCUUAUGUCCAGGGCUUCACGCAUGCUACAAUGGCUGGUACAGAGAGUGGCGAGCCUGUGAGGGUGAGCGAAUCUCGGAAAGCCGGUCUCAGUUCGGAUUGGGGUCUGCAACUCGACCUCAUGAAGUCGGAGUCGCUAGUAAUCGCAGAUCAGCAACGCUGCGGUGAAUACGUUCCCGGGGCUUGUACACACCGCCCGUCAAGUCAUGAAAGUUGGUAACACCCGAAGCCGGUGGCCUAACCGUUGUGGGGGAGCCGUCGAAGGUGGGACUGGUGAUU
rnacentral:rRNA from 1 species